UACAGAGGGCUCGAGCGUUGUUCGGAUUCAUUGGGCGUAAAGGGUGCGUAGGCGGCGCGGUAAGUCGGGUGUGAAAUCUCGGAGCUUAACUCCGAAACUGCAUUCGAUACUGCCGUGCUUGAGGACUGGAGAGGAGACUGGAAUUUACGGUGUAGCGGUGAAAUGCGUAGAUAUCGUAAGGAAGACCAGUGGCGAAGGCGGGUCUCUGGACAGUUCCUGACGCUGAGGCACGAAGGCCAGGGGAGCAAACAGG
rnacentral:rRNA from 1 species